GAUGAACGCUGGCGGCGUGCCUAAUACAUGCAAGUCGAGCGAACGGACGAGAAGCUUGCUUCUCUGAUGUUAGCGGCGGACGGGUGAGUAACACGUGGAUAACCUACCUAUAAGACUGGGAUAACUUCGGGAAACCGUAGCUAAUACCGGAUAAUAUUUUGAACCGCAUGGUUCAAAAGUGAAAGACGGUCUUGCUGUCACUUAUAGAUGGAUCCGCGCUGCAUUAGCUAGUUGGUAAGGUAACGGCUUACCAAGGCAACGAUGCAUAGCCGACCUGAGAGGGUGAUCGGCCACACUGGAACUGAGACACGGUCCAGACUCCUACGGGAGGCAGCAGUAGGGAAUCUUCCGCAAUGGGCGAAAGCCUGACGGAGCAACGCCGCGUGAGUGACGAAGGUCUUCGGAUCGUAAAACUCUGUUAUUAGGGAAGAACAUAUGUGUAAGUAACUGUGCACAUCUUGACGGUACCUAAUCAGAAAGCCACGGCUAACUACGU
rnacentral:rRNA from 1 species